rnacentral:lncRNA from 1 species
UGGCAACUUUCACUGGGCAGUGAAAGGUCAGUUGAGAACAACAAGCAAUAACAACCAUACGAAGAAUCUAGCAAACUCAGACUUUACUUCUCCUUUUCGUGGUCCUGGAAACAGCUCAGAAUAAAGUGGAUCUGGACCUCUACAGAAGAGAGGGAGCUCCAGAUUCCAGAUAGGAUUUCACUGUGUUGUCCAAGCUGGAGUGCAGUGGCUCAAUCACAGGUCAUGGCAGCCUCGACCUCCUGGGGUUCAGGUGAUCCUCCCAUCUCAGCCUCCCGAGUAGCUGGGGCUACAGGUCUUUUGCUCCACGUGAUAUUGACUAUGAUCAUCUGGAGGGUCCGUGGUUCCAGUGACUUAGCAUCAAAGACGGCCUAACACACACGUCUGGUGCCUCUGCUGGGAUGGCUGAAGCAGCCGGAGGCUGGCCAGCUACUCAGGAGGCGGAGGCAAAGGAUCGCUUGAACCCAGAGGCAGAGGUUGCAGUGAGCCGAGAUUGCACCAUUGUACUACAGCCUGGGCAACAGAGCGAGACCCUGUCUCAAAG